UACGUAGGAUGCAAGCGUUGUCCGGAUUUAUUGGGUUUAAAGGGUGCGUAGGCGGCCUAUUAAGUUAGUGGCGAAAACGUUCGGCUUAACCGGAUACCCGCCAUUGAUACUGAUAGACUUGAGUGUGACAGAGGGUGGUGGAAUGUGUGGUGUAGCGGUGAAAUGCUUAGAUAUCACGCAGAACACCAAUUGCGAAGGCAGAUGCCUAUGUCGUAACUGACGCUGAGGCACGAAAGCGUGGGUAGCAAACAGG
rnacentral:rRNA from 1 species